rnacentral:lncRNA from 1 species
CUUUUUUCAAGAUAAAUUAUGCUUUGGCAUUCUUAAGAAUAGUGUCAUUGAAAAUAAUCUUCUCCCAGAGCUCAUACUGUGCUGAUUGUGAUUCUGAUAGAACAUUUAUGCAUUUACAUAAUAAAUCUUUUUGAAGUAAUUUUAAAAUUUAUUAAAAGUCAGUACAAUUAAUUUUCAUCCUCUGUUUGAAGUUUUAAAAUUAAAUCUGUGAUUAACCUUUUAUCACCUAAAUAUAUUGACUGAUAGUCAUGCUUGCUAAAAAUGGAAUUUAUGGGUCUGAAUGCUGGUCUAAUUUGACAAUCUUACACCACUGUUUUGAUUCCAUUUCUUAGUGUUGCUUGUCAUGUCUUUCCCUUUUAGGACUCCAUUUACUCUGUCUUCACAGAUGGUAGAAACAGACAAGACUAUUUACAGGUCCUAGUGUGUUCUGGAGAGGAGAGGUUUUUCCCAAGCCUGCAUGUUGAUGUUCAUCAUAGGGAGUCUGACGGAGGCCUGCUGAACUGCAGCACUCCUGCUGCAGCCACUCAAAUAUUCAGAAGGAAGUUCUGCUGUAAUAAAACUUCAAAGAGGUAACGACUGAGGACCUGCUCUUCCCCUGUUAGUUUUCCUCCCUAUCUCUGGUAGCUGAACAGUUUCCUAAUGACUGGUGACUGAAAGCAUGGCUGCCACAUGUCAAGAGUGCUGCUCAGGUGGUAGGUACAUGGCCAGUCAGCAUUUUGGCCCGGUGAUAGCCAUUUUCUGGUCAUACGACUAAAAAAAUAGGCUAUUCCAUCUUUGACAAAGAGAGGGUUAGCCUUUGCAGGAAAAAGAGACAUAUUCUUGCCUGGGCAGUGGUUCCUGUACUCCAGCUACAGAGAUCUAAGCAUCAGUUAAAAAAAUCAAGGUAGGGUAACAUUCCUUCUGUUCAGUAACAGAGGAAAAAUCUUCAGACUGGCAUGGGGUGGUGUUGAGACUGGAGGGGGUGUUUCCAUUGCCUGGAAACAUGGAUUUUCACAUUGGCUUUGGAGCAGCCGAUUAAAUCCUCAAGGUGCACCCAAACUUAGUUACCUGGGCUCUUGAAACAUCCCAUAGAAGCCCAUACAUGGUUUAAAGAUGCCUCUGUCUUGCUCUUCCUUCCCCUUUUCUCUCCUAUUGUGAAACUACAGGAUUUCUACUAAGUUUUGGUGAAGUGUAGCAAAUAGUGUAAUUCUUUAUACAUAUAACAUCCUGGUUUGUGCAAGCAAUUAGGAAACUGAAUGUCGUGCCCAGAUGGGGACCUGAUCCUCUGUGCCUUGGCUCCGGUCCUGCAUUAGAUUUGUAGGGAGUGUGACCUACAUUCUCUUCCAAAGAAGGCUGAGUAGGAAGGGAC